CGAUAAUCUAAUUAUAUUAACUAAUUUCUUACCGCUUUUCAGUCAUUGGACUAUCAGGAUACGUUACUAAACUAGCGCUCGAUGUACGAGGUGUAUUUCUGGGUUCUUCCUCUUCUUCCAUUAUUCCUGAAUAAAUAAUUGAAAACUAGAAGGAAACUCACGGCAUAUCUGCAACGCUGCCACGAUAAGUCUUCCUCUUGUAUGCUGCUGCUGCUUCGGUGUAAGGUAAGAUAAGAUUUUCUGCAUCAAAGUAAAUAUCUUUUACAAGAGGCGGACAGCGAGUCAUUAAAGUAUCCACGCCCAGAUAUGACACCUACAGCAAAAGCAAACAUUCGCAAGUUUUCAACUAGCCAAAUUGUUGAUGAUCGAGAAAUAUGAUUCUUACUUUGACAUGACGAUCGAUAAGCCAAUUCAAUUCGAAAUCCUCGUCAUCGUCGCCAAAAGGAUUUAUUAAUUGUUCAGCUACCUGUAGUGAAUCGCCAAAUUAGUUUCUGUAUCAUUUUAUUAUUUAUAUCGUAUUUACCUUUAAUAAACCCAUGAAGAAAAAAAAUUGUAGAAUCGUAAAUAGAGGACAAUAUAUGUCGACUUUUAGCUGAAA